AGUGGCGGACGGGUGAGUAACGCGUGGGAACGUGCCCUUUGGUUCGGAACAACACAGGGAAACUUGUGCUAAUACCGGAUGAGCCCUUCGGGGGAAAGAUUUAUCGCCAUUGGAGCGGCCCGCGUUGGAUUAGGUAGUUGGUGGGGUAAAGGCCCACCAAGCCGACGAUCCAUAGCUGGUCUGAGAGGAUGAUCAGCCACACUGGGACUGAGACACGGCCCAGACUCCUACGGGAGGCAGCAGUGGGGAAUCUUGCGCAAUGGGCGAAAGCCUGACGCAGCCAUGCCGCGUGAAUGAUGAAGGUCUUAGGAUUGUAAAAUUCUUUCACCGGGGAAGAUAAUGACGGUACCCGGAGAAGAAGCCCCGGCUAACUUCGUGCCAGCAGCCGCGGUAAUACGAAGGGGGCUAGCGUUGCUCGGAAUUACUGGGCGUAAAGGGCGCGUAGGCGGACAGUUUAGUCAGAGGUAAAAGCCCAGGGCUCAACCUUGGAACUGCCUUUGAUACUGGCUGUCUUGAGUUCGGGAGAGGUGAGUGGAAUGCCGAGUGUAGAGGUGAAAUUCGUAGAUAUUCGGCGGAACACCAGUGGCGAAGGCGACUCACUGGCCCGAUACUGACGCUGAGGCGCGAAAGCGUGGGGAGCAAACAGG
rnacentral:rRNA from 1 species